ACCGGACGUGGUGGCGCACACCUUUAAUCCCAGCACUCAGGAGGCAGAGGCAGUCGGAUUUCUGAGUUUGAGGCCAGCCUGGUCUACAAAGUGAGUGCCAGGACAGCCAGGGCUACACAGAGAAACCCUGUCUUGAAAAAAACAAAAAAAACAAACAAACAAAAAAAGACAAGGUUUGUCUGUAGAGCCCUGGCUGUCCUAGAUCUCACUCUGUAGACCAGGCUGGCCUUCAACUCAGAAAUCCACCUGCCUC
rnacentral:lncRNA from 1 species